CUUUUCUGUUAAUGCUGUGCGGGGUCCAGGGGCACGAGAAGCUUCUCCCCUGUCGGUUUCUGAGACGGACGUAAUCAUGCCUGAGCUUUCCCAUAUAUCUGACAUGGUGCCUGAGAACAUUAUUGAUGUCCCUGAAGUGGAUUAUAGAGUACCCGAGGCAGUAAAUGGUGCAUUUAUAAGUCCAAGCUUUUUGGAUGCCAAUGGAACUAUUCCAAUAGAGAUUGAUAAUAUAUCCCCUGAUGCUGAUAUUGAUGCCUUGCUAGACAAUUCCAACUUCUGGGAUGAUUUGCUUGUGCAAAGUCCAUGUCAAGACGAG
rnacentral:misc_RNA from 1 species